rnacentral:tmRNA from 1 species
GGGGCUGACUUGGAUUUCGACAGAUUUCUUGUCGCACAGACAGCAUGCCAAGUGCUACUUGUAAAACAGCAACAAAAAUAACUGUAAACAACACAGAUUACGCUCCAGCUUACGCUAAAGCUGCGUGAGUUAAUCUCCUUUUGGAGCUGGACUGAUUAGAAUUUCUAGCGUUUUAAUCACUCCAUAACCUUAAGCUAGACGCUUUUAAAAGGUGGUUCGCCUUUUAAACUAAGAAACAAGAACUCUUGAAACUACCUCAAGGUUUUAGAAAGUUGGACCAGAGCUAGUUUUAAGGCUAAAAAACUAACCAAUUUUCUAAGCAUUGUAGAAGUUUGUGUUUAGGGCAAGAUUUUUGGACUGGGGUUCGAUUCCCCACAGCUCCACCA